GACGAACGCUGGCGGCGUGCUUAACACAUGCAAGUCGAACGGAAAGGCCCUGCUUGCAGGGUACUCGAGUGGCGAACGGGUGAGUAACACGUGGGUGAUCUGCCCUGCACUUCGGGAUAAGCCUGGGAAACUGGGUCUAAUACCGGAUAGGAGCCAUUUUUAGUGGGAUGGUUGGAAAGUUUUUUCGGUGUAGGAUGAGCUCGCGGCCUAUCAGCUUGUUGGUGGGGUAAUGGCCUACCAAGGCGGCGACGGGUAGCCGGACUGAGAGGGUGGACGGCCACAUUGGGACUGAGAGAAGGCCCAGACUCCUACGGGAGGCAGCAGUGGGGAAUAUUGCACAAUGGGCGCAAGCCUGAUGCAGCGACGCCGCGGGGGGGAUGACGGCCUUCGGGUUGUAAACUCCUUUCGCUAGGGACGAAGCUUUUUGUGACGGUACCUAGAGAAGAAGCACCGGCUAACUACGUG
rnacentral:rRNA from 1 species